rnacentral:piRNA from 1 species
UGCUUUAGCGUGUGCUGGAGGUCCUAGU